GAGUUUGAUCCUGGCUCAGAUUGAACGCUGGCGGCAGGCCUAACACAUGCAAGUCGAGCGGUAGAGAGAAGCUUGCUUCUCUUGAGAGCGGCGGACGGGUGAGUAAUGCCUAGGAAUCUGCCUGGUAGUGGGGGAUAACGCUCGGAAACGGACGCUAAUACCGCAUACGUCCUACGGGAGAAAGCAGGGGACCUUCGGGCCUUGCGCUAUCAGAUGAGCCUAGGUCGGAUUAGCUAGUUGGUGAGGUAAUGGCUCACCAAGGCGACGAUCCGUAACUGGUCUGAGAGGAUGAUCAGUCACACUGGAACUGAGACACGGUCCAGACUCCUACGGGAGGCAGCAGUGGGGAAUAUUGGACAAUGGGCGAAAGCCUGAUCCAGCCAUGCCGCGUGUGUGAAGAAGGUCUUCGGAUUGUAAAGCACUUUAAGUUGGGAGGAAGGGCAGUAAAUUAAUACUUUGCUGUUUUGACGUUACGACAGAAUAAGCACCGGCUAACUCUGUGCCAGCCG
rnacentral:rRNA from 1 species